UGCCCGGCAACUCCUAUCCCUACCUCCGCGUGGUACCAGCCAGGCUGCUUGCAACCUUUGGGAAGAUAGGGUACCGGUUGGAACUUUGUCCUUAGGUUAAUCGGGUAGG
rnacentral:ribozyme from 1 species